rnacentral:rRNA from 1 species
GAUGAACGCUGGCGGCGUGCCUAAUACAUGCAAGUCGAGCGAACGGACGAGAAGCUUGCUUCUCUGAUGUUAGCGGCGGACGGGUGAGUAACACGUGGAUAACCUACCUAUAAGACUGGGAUGACUUCGGGAAACCGGAGCUAAUACCGGAUAAUAUUUUGAACCGCAUGGUUCAAAAGUGAAAGACGGUCUUGCUGUCACUUAUAGAUGGAUCCGCGCUGCAUUAGCUAGUUGGUAAGGUAACGGCUUACCAAGGCAACGAUGCAUAGCCGACCUGAGAGGGUGAUCGGCCACACUGGAACUGAGACACGGUCCAGACUCCUACGGGAGGCAGCAGUAGGGAAUCCUCCGCAAUGGGCGAAAGCCUGACGGAGCAACGCCGCGUGAGUGAUGAAGGUCUUCGGAUCGUAAAACUCUGUUAUUAGGGAAGAACAUAUGUGUAAGUAACUGUGCACAUCUUGACGGUACCUAAUCAGAAAGCCACGGCUAACUACGUG